rnacentral:snoRNA from 16 species
UCGAAUGAUGUUUUAGUGUGUAAUCUCUCUCAUUAGAUCCUCGGAUCUAUGUAGAAAAAUUCAUCCAUCACUGA